GACCGCUCCGGUGGCCUAGUGGUUAGAGCGUCCGUCUCAAAUGUGGGAGGUCGCGGGUUCGAACCCCAGCAGAGUCG